rnacentral:rRNA from 1 species
CCUACGGGAGGCAGCAGUGGGGAAUAUUGGGCAAUGGGCGCAAGCCUGACCCAGCAACGCCGCGUGAAGGAAGAAGGCUCUCGGGUUGUAAACUUCUUUUAUCAGGGACGAAGCAAGUGACGGUACCUGAUGAAUAAGCCACGGCUAACUACGUGCCAGCAGCCGCGGUAAUACGUAGGUGGCAAGCGUUAUCCGGAUUUACUGGGUGUAAAGGGCGUGUAGGCGGGAAAGCAAGUCAGAUGUGAAAACCAUGGGCUCAACCUGUGGCCUGCAUUUGAAACUGUUUUUCUUGAGUACUGGAGAGGCAGACUGAAUGCCGAGUGUAGCGGUGAAAUGCGUAGAUAUUAGGAGGAACACCAGUGGCGAAGGCGGUCUUCUGGACAGCAACUGACGCUGAGGCGCGAAAGCGUGGGGAGCAAACAGGAUUAGAUACCCCUGUAGUC